GUGGAUUAGAUACCCUGGUAGUCCACGCCGUAAACGAUGAUGACUAGCUGUCGGGGCUCAUGGAGUUUCGGUGGCGCAGCUAACGCGUUAAGUCAUCCGCCUGGGGAGUACGGCCGCAAGGUUAAAACUCAAAGAAAUUGACGGGGGCCUGCACAAGCGGUGGAGCAUGUGGUUUAAUUCGAAGCAACGCGCAGAACCUUACCAGCGUUUGACAUGGUAGGACGAUUUCUGGAGACAGAUCUCUUCCCUUACGGGACCUACACACAGGUGCUGCACGGUCGUCGUCAACU
rnacentral:rRNA from 1 species